rnacentral:lncRNA from 1 species
GACUUCUGGUUCUCGCAAUGUCAAGUCAGCUCACGUUGAAGAAUUUCCUUUAACCGAGCAGUUCACUGAAAAGAAUUUUUAUAUAGAUACAAUCUGUGUUGUAAAGACGUUUUGAAAUUUCAUUAGCACCAUGGCAAGACACAACCAUCACGAUUAUAUCGAUAAAGUUCGAAACCAAUCUGAAAAUGUAUGUACAAGUUGUAAGAUGUUUACCGCGAAUAUAUAUUUGAUGGAAAAUUAGAACGAAUAGCCAUCUAUACGGUAAACGUUAAAGACGGCCCCACUGAAUAUCGAGGUGAGAUAUAUACUCGCAGCAAAUACCUCGUACAUCAUCUACGUACAUUUUCAGAUUCCUUCGAAACUUUACGAGUAUAAUCAAGAUCGCCGGGGUCCCAUUACAAUGUUAAUAUAACACAUACAGUACGUAUAGUACAUACGGAAAAGGUUUGUUAAGUGUGCAAAUAUUUUCGUGAGUCACUGUAUAUGUUCGAGGCAAUUAUUCACAGUAUACGCCAACGUUUUACUGAAAAUGAGCGAGAUAUUUUCAAUAAAUGUCUUGCAACUUCCGUAAACCUUUCUAAAUUCGUUUCCAACUUUACCGCUAUAAUCGCGAUAGACGCGUUUCGUUACGUUACCAAUGGAAUUACAAAACGUUUCCUAUAAUACCGCAUUACGGUUUCUACAAGCGUUCCAAUACCGAGCUACUUCUAUGUUACGUCUGUUUGCAAUAAAUUUCCAUUUAAAAGGAACGAAUAAAUAUGUGUAUAUAUGUUGCACUGGAAUCGCUAAAUCGAAACAGCAGACACACAAAACAAACUCUGUCCCCUGGCAGGUACAAAAAUGUGCGUAGAAUGUCGAACGAAUCGAGACCAAUUAGCGGAAUGGCAAAGAAUGUUAAGCGCCGCGACACCAUUCGUCGCCUCUCUAUUCAUGUGUUCUCCCCGUCCAUGCACUCGCCGCUUUUCGCGCGAUAUUCCCUCUCCCACGUCACCGUUAUUAGCAGCAGCCUGUUUUCUCCCUUUUAACGACUCCCGUCAAUGUCAAUGCCAGAAACGCGUACCGCGAGAUUCUCUCUUCGAGUUUGUUUACGAUCAGGAAGAGAGAGAGAGAGAGAAGUGGACAAAGGAUGAAAAAGAUGGAUGCAUAUGUCACUCUAUUAACAUAAUUAUUGCGAAAACCUUGGAGAUACGUACUAUAUCCUGGCGUAAACUCGACGCAAAUCGAGGCGGUUUGCCGACAGCGAGCGUGUCGUGGGCAUCGAUCGAUGAAUGGUGUUCUCGCGACCAUAGUGGCGCUCGCCUCGAAAACCGUACAUUUUUCACCGGAAACGGUUUAACUCUUUGACGGUGUAAUAAGGCGAUGAAUAAUUCAGAGCGAACGAUUUAGAAGAUAAGUUGUCUUAUUAUUCUUAAGGUCUGCUGCGUUUCUGAUAUCAGAUUUGUUCGACUUAUUAGAAAUAUGAAUUUACUUUAGCGUUGAAGCACGUAAAUUUCAAAUAUUUGUUUCAUUUAACUCGUCGACGGUGUAAUUAAAUUACGAAGAAUGUGAAACGAACAAUUUAGAAAAUAAUUAUGUAACUCGCUAUUCUUAACUCUGCCGCGGUCCUCGAGUUGUUUAUGUCUUAAUCUUACUUUAGCUUCAACCUUAGUUUCGAUCUUGCUUGAAACGCGAUAUCACGCGUAUAAAUAACAGGUCUUUCGUGUUUUGCUCAAAUUUAGGACAAUUUUCUAGCGAUGAACGUACGGUACGCUUGAAAAUGGCUCAAAAGAACCAGCGGCGCGUUAAAACGCGCUUUCCACCGAAAUGGAAAUACCGAUCGUAUAAUAAGCAGAUUGAGCGGAUGGUGAGCUUGCUCCAGAUAUUCUGCAACGAGGUUUAAAGGAAUUCGGCAUUUAUGAAGAGCAACGUGCGAGCAAGCGGAGUCAUCGACGUACGAAACGAGUUCCAAAGGAUUGGAUGAAAUUCAUGGGCGUGUUUUAUGUUCCGAGAUUAAGAGGUGGGGGACAAACGGACGAGAAUUCGAGAACGUUUCGCGUUCGUGGUACAACAGCCUCUUAAUCGAAUAACAGGUGUUCGAAAUGGCCUCACCAGGACUGGUUUACGUCGAUACUUCGUAUCGUCCGAAUCUCGAUGCACGCCAACUCUUGCGCAUCUGUUUGACACGUAAAAAAAAAGAGGGGUUAUAAAUAUAGUGUGGCUUCGCGUUCAUUCCCGCUCCUAGGAGAAGUUAAAAGUUGCUCGGCGUAUAAUUCACGCGGUAGCUUUAAGUGGUGAUAUUUUAGAAACAGUACCCGGUAUUUAUUACGUUGCCAUUUUGAAUUUUUCGCCUGAGAUAUGUCUAUAAAUACGUAGGCAUUUAUUUUCGAGUUACCAUAUGAUGAUUACAGGGAGAGGAUGCAAUAAUUACAACUUUGCUAACUUCCUGAUUUUUACGUUACUUAGUGGUGAAAAGAGGGCACUUUAAUAUACCGUGGCUAAAAAGACAUAAUUAAGAGGCGCAACCUACCCGGCCCGAAGAUGUAAGCUCUUUAGCGAUGGAUAUGAAGUUAUAUGAGAGAAAUUAACGGCAUACGAAGAUUCCUUUCCAUUAGUCGCGGUGAUACAGUGCUCUUCAAGGAAUUUUAACAUAUCAUCGUCAUUAAUAUCUGCGUACGAAGUAAAAAAGCAAGGAAAAAAGAAGAAAAACAACUAUAGUAAACAACUUGGUAAGGAGCAGACAGUAAACGACAGGAAGAGACACGCCUACGACAAUUAAAGGCUUAAACGCAUCAUUCUAAUGUGACCAUUAAAACAGUUACACCACCAUCUUCAUUUCUUGUAAUGAUCGUUGAAUCUAAGCGAUUCGAGCAUUGCUUGCGCUAUAAGAGACAAACAAGGGGAAAAACAGAACAUAGAAAAAAAAACGAGAUAAAAGAUUAGAGAAAACGAAGGGAGAGAGAGAGAGAGAGAGAGGAAGGGAAGAAGAAGGCGGAUACAAGCAAAUAAAAUCCGCGUUAAGACAGUAAGCAAACGAACGGCAUUUGCGGUGUAAAUGCGGCUUAAAGAUUGACGCCGCACGAAACAAGCUCGCCCACUCUCAUCGGGCGGAAAACUGCGCUAUCAUCCUUCUACACCACAAUGAUCUUGACAGUGACCGUAGCGAUCAAUGGCGCCGUCAAUUAGGCGAAUCGCGUACUCGGGUUUAUGGCCAACGUAUCGAGGACGCCGAGCCACGCGUUAUCCUGGAAAUUUGACGACUACUAUCAACGUCCAUGUAACAUGGUUCACGCGCUUCUUUCAUUCUACUCUGCGUCUCAGUUCGAAAACUGGAUAUGACCCACUGAGGACUACGCGCAGAAAUAAAACGUAAAUCAAACGAAAUUGGUUCACGGUCACCGAGAAUGUGCAAAGUUUAAGGAAGAUCGUUUGAAAUGGACAAACGACUCUAUAUAUAUAUAUAGAUGGCGUAAGGAAGUGGUAAGGAGAACGAACAGCUUGUUUUCUACUCGUCGAUAAAUCUGCGGCUUCUUAUCUGUCAGCAGAAGAUUACAACGAUCGUCCGGCGAUGUUGUAACAACUAACAGCCAAUGAUAUAUUGGACGAACGAACAUUGCUAGACAUUUCUUCAAUGACGAGUGUACCAUGUGAUCUAAACAUACGACGACGCGUUCCUCGAACGUCAUCACUUCGACCCGUGAUCCUCGGACACAUUGGUCGCACAGUGUUGUCAAAUUCAACCUCGAAGAACUUACUCGUUGGUAAAUAUUAUUUACGCGUGUAAGUAGUACGUUCGGUUUAAUAAAACAGAGCUGCUGUACGGGCCGAACUGUUAUUGUAAAUAUAUUAUACAUAAAUAAAUGAACGAAUCCACUCUUGUCCCGUUGCUUUGUCUCGAAUGGAAUCAAACGACUCGUAAAGCUGUUUCCUGAUACUCAAAGAAUAUUUAGACACGGUUAACUCGUAAUUAUGAAUCGUAAUAAUGCCGAAUUAAAUAAACAUUUGUUGUACAGAGCCUAGAGAAGUUUUUCUAAAGGUCGUGUACUUUGAUCGAAGGAUGUAGAAGGUUUCAACGAGAUCUUUUAAUCAAUCGAGGCUGAUUUAAUUUAGUCGAGAGUUUCGAGAUCGGAAACACGGUAAAAGUUUCCCUGUCGUUUGUACCUUAACGAUUAAAACUUCAAAAUACUUGGGCUGCUGAGCAACGCAAACUCGUAGGCUGACACACCGGCCGCACACCUACGUGUUUCUAAAUAAGUCUUAUUCGUAGGUUGGCUGCACCGUGGAAGCGAAACUUAUAUCUUCCUCGAUCUAUCCGUCCGCCAAACCAUUCUCGCUCGUAUUAUUAUCUAAACGCGAAUCUUCACCGCCAGCGAAGAAAACAACUCUCGUAGCGUUGCGAACGCUGCCCAUCGCACUUUCCAUCAUUGAGGAGCAUCUACGGGUGAGCACUCGGCGACACCCCGCAGGACGCUUCAGCUGAAAAUCCUCUCAAGCACUGCAAUCGCCGGCAGGAGUUCCCCCCGAGUAUGUAACCGGUCCCAAACACAUUUGCCCGCUUUGGUCUUACGCCACAGACUAUACUCUAUGCAGCACAUAAAUCCCGCAUGAAACCGGGCUUACCAUGGCUACGACCCUAGUGCCAAGGUAUUACGAUUCACCACGUACUACCAGACCGUGCCUACGGUGACACGUAUAUCUUUGAAUUAAUAAAAAUCAUUAGUUUGUUUACCAGACGUAUCAAAGUUAUUGAUGUAGUUAUAGAAUGAAUGGAUAUUGGUUAGGUUCAUGUCGAUUCAUCGCAACUAUAUUAAAUAUAUCUCGAUUCUUGUUUAACCGAAAAUUACUCUUCCGUGUAACAUGUGGCACCGCGUGUGUCGAUACGUAAACGCACGUAUACACACGAUACUUGAGUGAAAAACACGUGCAUAUAGGUUAUGUACGCGGUACGCGAGAAAGAGACGAUGAGAGAAACCGAGCGUAGAAGUAAAGAGACAGGAACAAGUGUAAAGAGAAGGAGAGAAGCAAAGAAGACAGUAAGCUAGUGAACGAGCAACAGAGAAAGAGAGACUAUAAGGACUACUGCCGUUUUAUUGGCAGAGGUGAACGACACUGCCUACUGCAAGGUGGAUGCCUGUAUUUCGCAUAACCGCUCGUCGUUGGAACGUGCUAUGAGUUUAUGGGUCACUACGUACUGUUUUCAAGCACCUUCUUACGAAAAUAGUAUGAAUUCGUUGAAUCGAAAAUAUGUUGACAUCGGAAAGUCGGCAAUGUUUGCCUUUAUUAUGCCUUGUUCAUCUGUGUCUUGUAGUUAAAAAAAACAUUAUUUCUGGAUAAUACAAUAUCAUUAUUACAUCAUCUAAUAUCGAUAUUUCUUGUAAAAAUAAGAAUGGAUAAAAUAAGUGUUCUCGCGUUACAAGCAUGCUCAAGAUGAUAACAAUUACCAAAUAACUGACUUAUAUUAAAACACGCACACGUUGUAUACACCUCUUAAUUUCAAUGCAUACACAUACCCCUAUGGGAUUACCACAUAAACGUGCAGCGACCUUUUUGAAAAUUAAGAAUUCAUUUCACGUACAACUUCUAACUGCAAAAGAUUGUACAGGUUAUGUAAGAGCAAUUCGAAGAACGAACAACAGAGAGGAACGGCCUGAUCAACAAGAGUGGAUUCUGAAUUUAAGAAUAAUCUGAUUUCGUUAACAUUUGCUUAACGACUUAGCAAUCAACAAGAUAAAACAUCAGAGCGAGCAAUAACAAUAUAUGACGUACAGUAACAUGUACAUAACGUGACAGAGAUUUAUAAAAACAGUGAAAAUCGGUCGAGUAACGUGAACUGACCUCUGCUUUGCCGCUCCUCAUCGAUUUUCUGAACAUACGUCAAUACGAAGUACGCCAGACACGUAUUCAUGGAAUUAAAUACUACCUUCUUUUUCAAUAGUCGAUAAAUAGAAAUUUCUGUCAGUUUGUAUAGCAGCCAUGUUAAAUAUGUAAGGAAUGAGAAAUAAGAUAUUUUCGGUACAAACGUGCUUAUCUCUAAAUAUUUUGAGGUUAGCUUCGGUAACUUUACGUUAUCUUUAUAUCGAGCAAUCUAAUGUAUAAUAUGCGAAAGCAAUGUAAACUGCGCAUUACUUAAUGCUUUAUCUGACAUUAAAUAUUAAAUAUUAAUAUUGUAUUGUCUUAUGUUCAAUGUAUUUCUACAAAAUUUGUAUCAACUAUGAAGAAUUCAUUUGAUACACUCAUUUAAUUAUUUGAUCGUACAAUUAGUAAAGGAUGUGACAAUUAUAUAAAAAAGAAUUAAAGAAAAAAUUAAAAUGAAAUGUAUCUCAGAAAUGUAUAUGUUGAAAUCAUUAAUGCAUCACCUGGUAACUUUGUUUAUCACACCAGGGUAUAAUUCCAUUUCAUCUGUAUAUUAUGAUUGCUCAAUAAAAUUACAUAUAUAUUGCCAAUUGUA